UUGGGGAAUUUUGGACAUUGGGCGAAAGCCUGAUCCAGCCAUGCCGCGUGCGGGAUGAAGGCCUUCGGGUUGUAAACCGCUUUUGUUCGGAAAGAAAAGCAUCCGGCUAAUACCCGGGUGUCCUGACGGUACCCAAAGAAUAAGCACCGGCUAACUUCGUGCCAGCAGCCGCGGUAAUACGUACGGGGCAAGCGUUAAUCCGAAUUACUGGGCGUAAAGCGUGCGCAGGCGGUUUUUUAAGACAGAGGUGAAAUCCCCGGGCUCAACCUGGGAACUGCCUUUGUAACUGCAAGACUAGAGUGCGGCAGAGGGGAAUGGAAUUCCUCGUGUAGCAGUGAAAUGCGUAGAUAUGCGGAGGAACACCCAUGGCGAAGGCACUCCCCUGGGCCUGCACUGACACUCAUGCACGAAAGCGUGGGGAGCAAACAGGAUUAGAUACCCUGGUAGUCCACGCCCUAAACGAUGUCAACUGGUUGUUGGGGGUUAAUUGGCUCACAAACANAAAAUAAAACGUGNNAUUUACCNCNCNGGGNGNACACCCUCNNAAUUAAAAAA
rnacentral:rRNA from 1 species